rnacentral:tRNA from 1 species
GGCCCCAUAGUUCAAUUGGAUAGAAUAUCAGAUUUCGGCUCUGAGGGUUGGGGGUUCGAGCCCUCCUGGGGUCA